rnacentral:rRNA from 1 species
GUCGGGAAUUUUGGGCAAUGGGGGAAACCCUGACCCAGCAACGCCGCGUGAGGGAUGAAGGCCCUCGGGUCGUAAACCUCUGUCGGAAGGGAAGAAAGGCCUCCGUUCGAACAGGGCGGGGGCUCGACGGUACCUUCAAAGGAAGCACCGGCUAACUCCGUGCCAGCAGCCGCGGUAAUACGGAGGGUGCAAGCGUUGUUCGGAAUCACUGGGCGUAAAGCGCGUGUAGGCGGCUUGGCAAGUCGAGUGUGAAAUCCCAGGGCUCAACCCUGGAACUGCACCCGAAACUGCCUCGCUGGAGUCCCGGAGAGGGUGGCGGAAUUUCCGGUGUAGAGGUGAAAUUCGUAGAUACCGGAAGGAACACCAGUGGCGAAGGCGGCCACCUGGACGGUGACUGACGCUGAGACGCGAAAGCGUGGGGAGCAAACAGGAUUAGAAACCCCAGUAGUCC